ACCCUGCUGGCUUAGCCCAGCAUCUGAGGACACUGCUAUUGCUCUUAACAGUUCCUAAGACCUGCCUCAACACAAAAGCUUUCAAGGAAGUUCCAAAAAUAAGUGACUGUUUGCUCCUACUGCAGGCUUUGUGUUCAGAUUGCUUGGACAAUGACUCUGCCCCUGAAUAGGGCUCCAGAAUCCAAGCUUGUUUUAUUUUUAAAAAUACAGUCAGUGUCAAUUACACCUGGCUCACAGUUUGGAAUGUUUUUAUUUUUUGGUAUACUGAGGUGCUGGCUAGUUCAGUGUGCAGACAACUGAAAUAAUAGCCCAAAUUAGCGUCCACACCUGUCCUGUUCACCUCAGUAGCAAAUAACUGCUGAAAUCUAGUGAGGCAAACUUAAGAGUGGUUUUCAAAUGUGUGCAACAUGUAUCCACUUUCCAAAUUUAAUUCAGAUGUUUUUAUUUACAUUUUCCUCGUUCUUCAUUUCCUGUUCUAUAGAGGUGGUUAGUUGUGUUAGUCCAAAGUCAAAUUGAAGACAGGGCAGAGUGGCAACUUGGAGACGAGCUGGUUCGGCAGGGUAUGAGCAUUUUUAGGUAACACCUUACUUUUCCAGUUGCUGCCAGUUGACCAAGACAUUAAUUAUUAUCCACAGCUCUGACAAAGGUUGUUGUCUACAAAGGCUCCUGUCUCUCUGAGCCAGUUGGUCUCUAAGGGCUCCUAUAGAUGUGCACAGAGUCUGCUCCAAUAUGCUGGAAAUCCAGUUCUUCGUUGGAGCAGACUCAAUUAAUUGAUUCUGCUAGAGCACAGAAAUUGACACAUUCCGCGACACGUGUAUCAGCGUCCUCGUGCGUCCCUGAGCUGCAAAAAUGGUGGUGGGGUGCUCUGAAAUAAAACGCGUUCAGUGAGCUUUAAUUCAGAGCACCCCGCCACCAUUUUUACAGUGCAGGGACAUGCGGUGAUGCUAAUGCAUGUGUGCUUUUAAUUAGCACAGCUCUUUAAUUAAAGUGCCUGGCACUGGGUCCCAGAACUUAUGUAAAAAUGCCCUAAGAUGCCCCCCUGCCCUGCUUUCUGCUUUUGUAUUAUGUAGUUGUUAAAUAGGCAAAGGGGCUGUUUUGCUUUUGUUCCUUUAAUUGCUUCCUAAUUGUUAGACUUCUCUUGUAAGUUGUUUCACAGUUAAAAUGUUUGUCUGAUGGAGACAAAUUCAGGGCUUGAACUCUUCCUGUAAGUAUGUACAUAUGCACAUGCACAGAUAGAUUUGCAGCCACUUUCCCAUAAAUUGAACUUGCAUGAGGUCAAAGCUAUAAUUCUCUGGAUUCAGCUAUAAUUUCACCUGAAUUUUUUUCUUCCCCUGGAGUUUGUAGUCUGAAGGCAAAGUAGAUCUGGAGCUCCUAAAUCACUUGAAAGCACAACCUGCAGGCACCCAGUACAGUAUUAGGUUCCUGUUUCUAAAAGUUUUGGUGAGUGUGAGUGUGAGUGUGUGUCAUUCUUAAUGCCUGUUCAGUGACUAACUUGUUACUGCUAACACUGAAGUCAAUCUGGCUUUUAAGUAACAAAAGUUUAUGCUAGCUAGAAAAAUGUUU